UACGUAGGGAGCAAGCGUUGUCCGGAAUCAUUGGGCGUAAAGCGCGCGUAGGCGGCCCGAUAAGUCCGUUGUGAAAGUCAAAGGCUCAACCUUUGAAUGCCGAUGGAUACUGUCAGGCUCGAGUCCGGAAGAGGCGAGUGGAAUUCCUGGUGUAGCGGUGAAAUGCGCAGAUAUCAGGAGGAACACCAAUGGCGAAGGCAGCUCGCUGGGACGGUACUGACGCUGAGACGCGAAAGCGUGGGGAGCAAACAGG
rnacentral:rRNA from 1 species